rnacentral:rRNA from 1 species
CACGUAGGGCGCAAGCGUUGUCCGGAAUUAUUGGGCGUAAAGCGUGCGCAGGCGGUUGUGUAAGACAGAUGUGAAAUCCCCGGGCUUAACCUGGGAACUGCAUUUGUGACUGCAUGGCUAGAGUGCGGCAGAGGGGGAUGGAAUUCCGCGUGUAGCAGUGAAAUGCGUAGAUAUGCGGAGGAACACCGAUGGCGAAGGCAAUCCCCUGGGCCUGCACUGACGCUCAUGCACGAAAGCGUGGGGAGCAAACAGG